rnacentral:rRNA from 1 species
AGAGUUUGAUCCUGGCUCAGGACGAACGCUGGCGGCGUGCUUAACACAUGCAAGUCUUACGAGAAAAGGGUAGCAAUACCCUGAGUAAAGUGGCGCACGGGUGAGUAACACGUAGGCAAUUUGCCUUUAGGACGGGAACAACCACGCGAAAGCGUGGCUAAUACCCGAUGAUGCAGCGGCUCCGCAUGGAGACAGUUGUUAAACCCCGCAAGGGGCCUAUUGAUGAGCCUGCGUCUGAUUAGCUAGUUGGUGAGGUAACGGCCCACCAAGGCAACGAUCAGUAGCUGGUCUGAGAGGAUGAUCAGCCACACUGGAACUGAGACACGGUCCAGACUCCUACGGGAGGCAGCAGUGAGGAAUAUUGCGCAAUGGCCGAAAGGCUGACGCAGCGACGCCGCGUGAAGGAUGAAGUUCGUUAGAAUGUAAACUUCUUUUGUAGGGGAUGAAUGUUCCGUUUUACGGAAUUGACCGUACCCUGCGAAUAAGAU